CAGCAGCCACGGGAAUACGGAGGGGGCUAGCGUUGUUCGGAACUACUGGGCGUAAAGCGCACGUAGGCGGCUUGGUAAGUUAGAGGUGAAAGCCUGGAGCUCAACUCCAGAAUUGCCUUUAAGACUGCCGAGCUAGCAGGUGAGAGAGGUAAGUGGAAUUCCGAGUGUAGAGGUGAAAUUCGUAGAUAUUCGGAAGAACACCAGUGGCGAAGGCGGCUUACUGGCUCAUACUGGACGCUGAGGUGCGAAAGCGUGGGGAGCAAACAGGAUUAGAUACCCCCGUAGUCCAUGUCUCUUAUAA
rnacentral:rRNA from 1 species